rnacentral:lncRNA from 1 species
ACUCAUGCACAUAUGCACCAGAGACUCAACCUCACACACACACACACCCACACACGCACACACCCACACACAUACAUGCACCUACACACAUUCUCACACACACAUGCAUCACACACCCUCACCUACACACACAUGCACACACACGCAAACAUACUCAUGCACAAAUGCACCAGACUCUCUCACACACACACGCACACACACUCAUGAAUACAUGUACCAUAGACCCGCCCUGACUGGUCACAUGCACAGUAAAAGCCUAUCACACUGUUGGUCCCAGAAUAAAUGCUUACCAGAGUAGGCUUCUACUUUGGUUGGUUUGGGUGUUUAUGGCAGUCUAAACACACAUGGGAAGGACAGGCAGUUUGUGGGCACCAGCCUUAUGUAGUCUUUUCCUUUGUCUUCUCAUGCAGGCUGCCAGCAUCACGUGGAUAUUUUCAAUCCCUGCUUCUACUUGCAAGGUACUAGGCCUUGCAAGCAAAAGCCUUUUUCA